rnacentral:sRNA from 1 species
GUCGGCGAUCCGCGGGGAGAUGAAGUGGACGUGCGCGUCGACGCCGCCCGCGGUCAGCACGCGGCCGUUCCCCGCGAUGAUCUCCGUCUCGGGGCCGAUCACGAGGCCGGGGUGGACGCCGUCCAUCGUGUCGGGGUUCCCCGCCUUGCCGAGCGCGACGAUCCGGCCGUCCCUGAUCCCCACGUCGGCCUUGAAGACGCCGGUGUGGUCGAGCACGACGGCGCCGGUGAUCACGGUGUCGGGGGUGCCCUCGGCCCGGGUGGCGCGGGACUGGCCCAUCGACUCGCGGAU